GGCUCAAAAGCCUUUUAAUGAAGCUGAGCACUCUCAUGCUGGCUUGGUCACCUAGAGGAUCGGGCAGAGAGCUCUAGAGGUAAAAGAGGUAAUAUUGAAAUUCCCUUGGCAAGCCUAGUGGAAAGGAGUUACCUGCACAUUCACGAGCAAAGAAGGACGUGCUCAGAACUCGCACUUGGUGGCCCCAUGCAAUGAAGUGCUACAAACCAGGCUCCCUUGCACUGAGCUAAACUCACUGAGGCUCAUUUAUACUGACUCAACUGAUGUGUAAGGGAGAUGGAAGAAGGGCUGAGAAAGUGUGUACCUUUAGAGCUGUCCAUCUGCGGUGGAGGAGUGAAGCAGAGAGAAACACCCAGGUGGUAUGCUGUUCCCAGCUACAGGGGCUUUAUUACUCCACUCCUGGCAGCACAGACUCUGAGCAGACUUCGAUGAAUAAAGAAGUGCUGGGAGAGUGAAACCCAGCCAGAGAGCAGGGCUUGAGCUGGCUCUUUUUUCUGUCCAGGUUGUAUUAGCAAUAGGUCACCACACUUCCAAGGUAAAAAGUGAGAGUGGCACAAGAUCUUCUGUCCGACUCCUUGUCUCAGUUAGUGAGUUGUAGGGCCUCUCCGUGGACAUUGAAUAUCCAAACACCUCUAGGGUUUUCUGACAAGGGGACCAAUAAACUUAUUUCCAUUUGUGACCCAAGAGAGGCUUUGAGCACAUCUGUAGCUAUCUAUAAAAAUCCACUAAGUAGCUCAUGCAAGAUGCCACUGCAUCUAGCAACAUGCCUGAUGGGGUUUCCAACAAUUGUCA